UCCAACUUCUUCUUCUCUCUCUCUCCAAAAUCGUGCAAACCAAACACCCCUCACUCCAACUUCAUUUCAAUUUUCAAAUACAAGAGUUCAUGGACUUUUGGAAGUCCAUGGAUGAAACAAGCUUCAAGGGUGUUUAGAAAAGCUGGAGCCUUUAUGGUGGAACUUGAAGCCUAAAAUCAACAAGAUUUCUUAUCAUCAUCUUUGUUUCCUUGCAAAAAUUGAGAUUAGUGGACGGCUUUGGAAAAAUAUGUUCAAGUGGUUAUCAAGAACGCAAGCUUUUGUGAAAUCAUCCAUUUUCGGUUGUUAUGUUUUGAACUUUGAAUAAUGUAGUUUAAGUUGUUGUUUCAAAUUUCAAUCAAGACAUAUGUAAUGUAAAUUAUGGUUUCGAAUCAAAUGCAUGGAUGAACAUCUUUUAUGUUUCAAA